rnacentral:rRNA from 1 species
GCAGUGAGGAAUAUUGGUCAAUGGGCGCAAGCCUGAACCAGCCAUGCCGCGUGCAGGAUGACGGUCCUAUGGAUUGUAAACUGCUUUUGUACGGGAAGAAACACCAAUUCGUGAAUUGGCUUGACGGUACCGUAAGAAUAAGGAUCGGCUAACUCCGUGCCAGCAGCCGCGGUAAUACGGAGGAUCCAAGCGUUAUCCGGAAUCAUUGGGUUUAAAGGGUCCGUAGGCGGCCCAGUAAGUCAGUGGUGAAAUCUCCCCGCUCAACGGGGAAACUGCCAUUGAUACUGCUGGGCUUGAAUUAUUGGGAAGUAACUAGAAUAUGUAGUGUAGCGGUGAAAUGCUUAGAGAUUACAUGGAAUACCGAUUGCGAAGGCAGGUUACUACCAAUACAUUGACGCUGAUGGACGAAAGCGUGGGGAGCGAACAGGAUUAGA